AGACAAUGUGACCCAAGUAGAUGCCAUUUAGCGAACUAAUUUAUCUGGAUUUUGAUAUGGUGGAGACUAUUUUAGUAAUCAGUGAUGCUCCCUGCAAAAAUCAUCACCCAAAGGCCCCUGGAGUCAGCAGGAAAACUCUUCCUCAACUUCUGUGAUCAGAAACAACAGGAUGGCACUGGGACCUGAACUCUGACUCUGCUGUUUCUGCUGCUCUGGUUGCUGAUGCUGCUCUUUCGCAGCAGCUGAGCUGGAUCCAGAUGGAAGUGUCAUCUGUUGUGUAUCCAGAGGCAUUUUACUCAUCCAUCAGAGCUGCAGUAGCUGCUUAUUGGUGUUCAGAAAUCCAGAUGAAGCUGUGAGAGAACAGGAGCCCACGUGGGAAGUGUGAACCAGAAAGCUGAAAUUACAGCAGCUGGAUUUUGGCCAGAAACACUAAGGCUAAAAACUGAAUUCUGAGAGAGCUGCUGAGACCUUAAGUGGCAGUCACAGGGCAGGAUGUUUGUUUUCCAUCUCCUCCAGAGGACGGCACAUCCAACAGCACUUUCCCAUCUUUAAGACCAGGCUGAGACCUUUGUUCAGGACUGACUCAGAGGAAAGGGUGCCACUCAAUGAAUCACUGCUUGACUUCCCUCAGUCUGGGGGUAUUCCUUUGAGACCUCAAAGCUCGCUCCAGAGCCAUCCUGCUUGAUGAAUGGGAAGUACUCUGAUGAACACAUGGAGAACGUUGCUGCAGGCCCAGCGCUCUGAAAGUGUGUAUACUGCCCAAGGCCUGCUCCAGAAAAUGAAUUCACAUAUGCUUAACUCUACACUUCGGAGGCAUAAUCCCAUUAAUUUAAAUGGGAUUACUCCUGGGCUUAAAUUCCUGCAGGAUCAGCACUGAGCUCUGUGGCUGCAGCUGCCAGUUGCACAAUGAAUGGUGUAACAAGAGCGUUGCUCAUUCAGGGUUGUUGCUGCCCCACUGUUUUGGAUUUGGAGGCUCUUGGCUCUCCCAUGUGCUUGAAACUUGGGGAACACCUAGGAGGCCCCACUGGUUGAACAUUCCCAUUGCUCAUAUACUCAAAAGUGAAACCUCAAUUCUAAGAUCUCCUGAAUAUAAGCUUUAUUUAAUCUCCCCUUACCUGCAAAGCUAUUUCAAGUCUUCUAUGGACUCUACCUCUAUGUAAACCCCAGGCUUCAUGGAUGGUUUUUGUGUCUG
ensembl:lncRNA